GCAACUGCGGUCCUGCGGUAGUGCGGCCCCGACUGUGUCCCGAGCGAGAUGAGCGGGCCUCCAGUCCAUAGCCAGGGGUGUGGGCGCCUUUAUACUUCUCCUCCGUAAAGGCGAUCCAGACUCACAUAACAUCUGUACCCAAAGCAGUGUCAUGAGCGGUGCUAAACGAAACGAGAGACGGGCCAGAAUUGCUAUGGUUCGCUCUCCAGUUCAGCUACUCUUAUGACACGGCUUCUCGGGUUGGCUGGCGUUGUCAACGCUUCGCUGUUCAGCGGGGCGGGGCUGGCGGCCGGCGGUUCACCUAGCUCGUAGAGACAGUCGGACCAUGCUAAGCUCUUUCUUCUUCUAGGCUUUCUCAGGUUAUAUAAUGAACGUUCAUAUAAGCUGAGAAAGCGGACCAGAAAUAUUUUGAUACAUUCCUUUUCCGUUUACCCUUCUUAUUAUUGGGCUCUUUGGAGAUUGCGGGGAUUGAUGGCGGUGAUUUCGUGUCCUGCUAUCAACCCCGUCCCUUUCUUCAGCCAGCCAAGAGUUCAAUUUAGGUCCUCAAUCCCCUCUCGAAAUAUUUCUGGUCCUUCACUUCCAAGGAAAUAAGUAUGGGUUAACUUGUAUGAUGGCUGGUUCGGGUGUGGCCUGAGGAGUCGUCCUUCGGGUCGGUGCUCAGUCUCCUCAGCACGUACCAAAACCAGUUUACGAGCUAGCCGUAUUUAUUUCUUAAGUACUUGCAACAACAGUCUGCAUUAAAGUUGCUUAAGGUCUUUAAUGUAGCUGUCGUUGUGACUACAGAGAUAUACAUUUGUGUGACACCAUCUUACACAAGUGUAUAUGCGCAUGGAUGUUUAAUUUAUCAGUUAUCUUAAAUAUUCAUGCUGUUAUUUUUGUAUACCAAUAUUAAGAACAUUUUCAAAGAGCUGGAGGAAAUAAAAAAAUAAUAACCAAUAUUGGACUUUUAU